rnacentral:rRNA from 1 species
CUUAGUGGCGAACGGGUGAGUAAUGCAUGAGCAACCUGCCCUUCAGUGGGGGAUAACAGCCGGAAACGACUGCUAAUACCGCAUAACAUUUUCGAGAGGCAUCUCUUGAAAAUCAAAGAUUUAUUGCUGAAGGAUGGGCUCAUGUCUGAUUAGUUAGUUGGUGAGGUAACGGCUCACCAAGACCGCGAUCAGUAGCCGGUCUGAGAGGAUGAACGGCCACAUUGGGACUGAGAUACGGCCCAGACUCC